GUCCGUGGGGGACGGGAAUAUCGCGAUUCGUAAGUUGAUGGCUUCCACGUAACCCACCUGGGUUCAAAAUUCCAACCCCGCACACAGGAUUUUUGGCCUGAAGAGGCUGAAGAAUUUAAGAUUAAAGUUUCUAUGAUCGUUAAAAAAGUACUUUUUCUGGUUCAGUAUCAAUACUUUUUUACAAAUAUUGGGAAACUAGCAAUAGAAUAUUCCAUAAAAUCUCUUAACAAAUUGAGUUUCAUUGAAUUCUUCCAUGAUUAAAACCUUCAGUUUAGUUUGGUUUUCAGAAAUAGAAAGGAAAAAAAUUAGUUUGGACAAGAAAUAGUAUGUAACGUACGGUUGGUAGGGAAUCUGUCAUGUUGAAUGCCUCGAAUGUAAAUCGUCAUCAAAUUUUGAAAAUAGUUUCUUUCAGUUUUCAGAAAUUUAUUUAAAAAAUGUGACCGGUUUUGUAAAAAGCACUAGCACAAUUUGUAAUUGUUCGACAAUUAGGCCCUUUUUACAAGACCUUAUAGAUAAAUUUCCGAAACCCAAAAUAUGCAGAGUGGUUUGUAUUUUGGCGCGCACGAAUUUUACAUUUCUCCUCCCUACUUGUAUGUACGAGACUCAGUGCGGACUCACCUGAGGGCGCCAUGCUCACACACGGAAAGACCGAAAUCACCCUUUUUCCGAAAAAAAUAGUUAAUUGUCUGAUUUUAAUAACUUAUUUUUUGAGACAACUAAAAAAAUCUUACUUUUGCUAAUUUAGAUUUUUAAUUCUCUCUCCCUUAAUAAUAAUAAAAUAUUUGUUAAUAUGGCUAUUUUUAUAGUUGAUUUCACCAAUUAUACGUGCUGUCAUUUCUUAGCUAAGGCACACUUCAUUUCCAUUCAACAAAUUUUUUAGUUGAAUUAGAGAAAUAAAAUGUUGUUUUCAACCAACAUAAAUGAUUGAAUACGCUUCAGCAAUUUGCAGCUAUAUGGCGCACUGUCACCGAAAAACGUUAACACCGUAAUGACUAUUAGCCACUAGAUGGCACACUACUACCGAAAAAAAUUUCAGUCGCGGUUGUCUUUUCUAUAUUGGCAGGUAUAAAUACGAUGUUGUAUUGGAGAAAAAGACAUAAACGAAACGUAAACAUCGUUUUGAUUUUUUUUCUUAAUCACUGUUUUCUUCAUUCUCACUGAAAACUUUGAGCACUCGGAAAACAAAAACCGAAUACAAAUAGUACACCGGACGGCGCAGCUCGGAAGGUUUGAAGAUACAAAAAAACUUCAUCACAAUUAGAGUGAAACAUUCGAAAUUCACUUCACUGUUCCGCGUAAAAACAUUAUUACGCACAAUCGCUUCAAGUGUGCACAAAUUCUGAAUAAAUACGAUUUCCACUAACAGUUUACGACAUUUUUACAUAUCGGUUUAGAAAUUUAAAUAAAAAUAUAUCGAACACAUGCGAAAAACAUCAAAACAAUUUUCAAGCAGUUUCAAUAAGACUGUCCUUUUUAGCUUUUUAAUGGAUUGUUUUGCUUUGACACUUCUCAUGAGUUUUUGGCUAAUAAACUUGUUAAUAAUACCCAUUUCAGUUUUGGUGUCUUUGUGCUGUCCUUCAGUAAUGAUGGUGAUAGAUAAAUAGAAACAAAUUUUCUGAUUUUAAUAACAAAAUUAGUUGUCAAUGAGAAUUUCGUGUUGGAUUGAAAUAUUGCUGGUAUGUGUCCAGGAUAUUCACCAACUAAACACAUUCUCUAAAAAUAAGAGUUUUUUCAGCAAAGUAAAUUCUCAAUUUUAACUAAUUUUAUAGUUAUUUUGGAAAUUUUGUUGUUAAAAUCAACUGAACUGAAGCUGAUUUCGGUCGUUCCGUGCAAUAAAGUAUGUUGCUUACGAUUUGUUUAUAAAAUGAGAACUGGAUAUCUUGAUGUCUUUGGAUAAAGUCAACAUGUCUAGAAAGUUUUAUCAUAAUUUGAGAGGGUGCUGCCAACUCCGAAUACGAUUUGGCGAUAAAUUCGUCCUACACAACCGUGCAGAAAUUUCUUACACAAUUUACUCCUUACGACGACUUUGCAAGACACCAAGAUUAUUGCUCGAAAUUAUUAUGGGCUUCAAUCAGCUCGAAAGACCUACACCACUUCAAUAGAGUCAGAAAUAUAUUUAAAUAUGUUAUAAUGGUUAUUGCAUAAGCUCAAACACAACAAAAACAUAAGUUGAUCCACACAUUGGCUUUUUUAUGCCUUUCUCAUAUAUUCACUCACAUAUAGCUGUUCGGCUUUCAGACCAAUUAAUGAGCGAAAGGCAAAGUUAAGUAUAACUCGGACCGUAAUAGCAUAGUUUACUUUCAGCAAAAUAUAAAUCCGAUUCGCGUUUUCGCUGAAUAUUUCUGAUUGUCAUAUUUUUAAAUUCUCCACCAUGCCACAAGACUUUUAAUUUCACUACAUUCUGUGAUUUUCUUGUAACACACUCGAAUCCACAUGCAAUUCAAGUUCAUUUACUUUUAUCAAAAUAUUUUCGUAGCAUUUUGCGAACCUUUACCGCUAGUCUUUUUACUAAUCUCAAUAUUGAGCUAUUUUGCUGCAGUUGUUCCAGGAACCACGAUCAACAGUCGACUGCUCUGGAAAAUACACAACAUCAAAAACAUAAUUCUUCCGAAUACUACACCGCGAAUCGGAACACCUCGUUUCCAUAGAGUCAUUUACUGGGGCCCCGAAAAGCCGCCGAAAUCAUGAAUCGAUCCCGCUCGGCUCCCGGUGCUGGUGGCGUUGACCUGACGACAGGCCUAAACAGUCGAAAAACCAUAAUAAUGAAGAGCGUUUCCAUUUUUCUGGCCAGUGGCAAACGAGCCGGUGACGAGUCACCGGAUAAGGCCGGUGGUGAGCAGACUGCCCGCAGCUGUAGGUCGAAGCGGGAGCUAAAACCUGGCGAACGAGAACGGCGCCGGAAUAGAAGGAUUUUGGCCAAAAUGGACGAGUUGAACGGGAAGCUCAAUCCGAAGAUGCUGGAAAUGUACAAACGAAGGACUCAUUUUUCCAAGAUCGAGGUGGAAGCACUGUGCAAAAUAUUUCGCAAAUUGGUGACCAACGCUAGCCUGAACUCGAAGGCUCUGGCGGCGAACAAUGCGGGGGUUAUCGCGAAAGCCGGUUCCUCCACUGACGGAAUCGACAGGUCAGUUUUUCGCGAACUACUGCACAGCACCUUCGACAUUGUGACGGACGAAACUCUGAUGGAACGAAUUUUCUGCGCUUGGGAGAAAGGUUACGAAGGAUUACCGAUUCGACUGGAGGGUUGGAUAUUAGGUUUGUCGACCUUUCUGAAGGGUUCCCAAGCGGAGAAGACCGCGUUUUGCUUCCGAGUGUAUGACUUAAACAGUGACGGGUUUAUCACAAAGGACGAAAUGUUUGCCCUUUUGAGAAACUGUUUGAUAAAGCAACCCCAGGACGAAGACCCGGAUGAAGGGGUAAGGGAUCUUGUCGAGAUAGCACUGAGAAAGCUUGAUAUGGAUAAGGAUGGAAAGGUUUCGUUUCAGGAUUAUCAGGAAGCCAUAACGGAAGAGCCUUUAUUGCUAGAAGCUUUCGGUCAAUGUUUACCAUCGGAUCGUGCAACAGUAUCCUUUCUAUCAACGUUGCAAACUUCCGAACAAACAGGCUGCAUUCGUCAUAACCUAGCGAAGUAACCUAUCAUGAUUCAAUCGUUGGCAUCACGAGCAAUAAAAAAAUAAACUUCCUCAAAACUUCCUCAAACAGUAAACAUACGAAUUUGGUCUGAGCGUUACUCCUUCAACUGUGCCAAUACUUCAGUGGGAAGAACUAUCGAUAGUCAAGAGGAAUCUUCUUAAUCUUGAACCCAACCCAUCAUCAUUGAAACUGAAGAACUCAUCUGAGAAUGACCAGCUUGGAGCUUGAGAACAGUACCGAAAAAGUUUUAGCAACGCGAAGGAUGCAUGGAUGCAAUGCAGUAUGUGAUAGGAUUCUAUGGAAAUGGUAUUUUCAACUAAUGAGUGUAAUUUUUGUGAAACUAGCAAAACUGAACUUGAAAUAAAUAUUAUAAAAGCAA